UACGGGGGGAGCAAGCGUUGUUCGGAUUUACUGGGCGUAAAGGGCGCGUAGGCGGUCAGCACAAGUCAGUUGUGAAAUCUCCGGGCUUAACUCGGAAAGGUCAACUGAUACUGUGCGACUAGAGUGCAGAAGGGGCAACUGGAAUUCUCGGUGUAGCGGUGAAAUGCGUAGAUAUCGAGAGGAACACCUGCGGCGAAGGCGGGUUGCUAGGCUGACACUGACGCUGAGGCGCGAAAGCCAGGGGAGCAAACGGG
rnacentral:rRNA from 1 species